GACGAAGAACGUAGCGAAAUGCGAUAAGUAGUGUGAAUUGCAGAAUUCAGUGAAUCAUCGAAUCUUUGAACGCACAUUGCGCCCCUUGGUAUUCCAUGGGGCAUGCCUGUUCGAGCGUCAUUUGUACCUUCAAGCUCUGCUUGGUGUUGGGUGUUUGUCUCGCCUCUGCGUGUAGACUCGCCUCAAAACAAUUGGCAGCCGGCGUAUUGAUUUCGGAGCGCAGUACAUCUCGCGCUUUGCACUCAUAACGACGACGUCCAAAAGUACAUUUUUACACUCUUGACCUCGGAUCAGGUAGGGAUACCCGCUGAACUUAAGCAUAUCAAUAAGCGGAGG
rnacentral:misc_RNA from 1 species